AACGAACGCUGGCGGCAUGCCUAACACAUGCAAGUCGAACGAUCCCUUCGGGGAUAGUGGCGCACGGGUGCGUAACGCGUGGGAACCUGCCCUUAGGUUCGGAAUAACUCAGAGAAAUUUGAGCUAAUACUGGAUAAUGUCUUCGGACCAAAGAUUUAUCGCCUUUGGAUGGGCCCGCGUUGGAUUAGCUAGUUGGUGGGGUAAAGGCCUACCAAGGCGACGAUCCAUAGCUGGUCUGAGAGGAUGAUCAGCCACACUGGGACUGAGACACGGCCCAGACUCCUACGGGAGGCAGCAGUGGGGAAUAUUGGACAAUGGGCGAAAGCCUGAUCCAGCAAUGCCGCGUGAGUGAUGAAGGCCUUAGGGUUGUAAAGCUCUUUUACCCGGGAUGAUAAUGACAGUACCGGGAGAAUAAGCCCCGGCUAACUCCGUG
rnacentral:rRNA from 1 species